rnacentral:rRNA from 1 species
ACUCAAAGGAAUUGACGGGGGCCCGCACAAGCGGUGGAGCAUGUGGUUCAAUUCGAAGCAACGCGAAGAACCUUACCAACCUUUGACAUGUCCCGUAUGAGCACCAGAGAUGGAGCUCUUCAGUUCGGCUGGCGGGAACACAGGUGCUGCAUGGCUGUCGUCAGCUCGUGUCGUGAGAUGUUGGGUUAAGUCCCGCAACGAGCGCAACCCUCGCCCUUAGUUGCCAUCAUUCAGUUGGGCACUCUAAGGGGACUGCCGGUGAUAAGCCGCGAGGAAGGUGGGGAUGACGUCAAGUCCUCAUGGCCCUUACAGGUUGGGCUACACACGUGCUACAAUGGCGGUGACAGUGGGAUGCAAUGGCGCAAGCCUGCGCAAAUCUCAAAAAGCCGUCUCAGUUCGGAUUGUGCUCUGCAACUCGAGCACAUGAAGUUGGAAUCGCUAGUAAUCGCAGAUCAGCACGCUGCGGUGAAUACGUUCCCGGGCCUUGUACACACCGCCCGU